rnacentral:miRNA from 1 species
CCCCAGAUGUUGCUGAACUACAACUCCCAUGAUUCUUUCAAUGAAACAGAUAAUCAUGGGAGUUGUAGUUCAGCAACAUCUUGGG